GCGAGAGUGGUGAAAUUGGCAGACACGCUAGACUUAGGAUCUAGUGCCCAAGGCGUGAGGGUUCAAAUCCCUUCUCUCGCA
rnacentral:tRNA from 1 species